rnacentral:rRNA from 1 species
UACGUAGGGUGCGAGCGUUAAUCGGAAUUACUGGGCGUAAAGCAUGCGCAGGCGGUUUUGUAAGUCCGAUGUGAAAUCCCCGGGCUUAACCUGGGAAUGGCAUUUGGGACUGCAAGGCUUGAGUGCGGCAGAGGAGACUGGAAUUCCUGGUGUAGCAGUGAAAUGCGUAGAUAUCAGGAGGAACACCGAUGGCGAAGGCAGGUCUCUGGGCUGACACUGACGCUCAUGCACGAAAGCGUGGGGAGCAAACAGG